rnacentral:rRNA from 1 species
UACGUAGGGUGCAAGCGUUAAUCGGAAUUACUGGGCGUAAAGCGUGCGCAGGCGGUUGUGCAAGACCGAUGUGAAAUCCCCGGGCUUAACCUGGGAAUGGCAUUGGUGACUGCACGGCUAGAGUGUGUCAGAGGGGGGUAGAAUUCCACGUGUAGCAGUGGAAUGCGUAGAGAUGUGGAGGAAUACCGAUGGCGAAGGCAGCCCCCUGGGAUAACACUGACGCUCAUGCACGAAAGCGUGGGGAGCAAACAGG